UGUGUAGGUGGCGCCGUAAGUCGGGUGUGAAAUUUCGAGGCUUAACCUCGAAACUGCAUUCGAUACUGCGGUGCUUGAGGACUGGAGAGGAGACUGGAAUUCAUGGUGUAGCAGUGAAAUGCGUAGAGAUCAUGAGGAAGACCAGUGGCGAAGGCGGGUCUCUGGACAGUUCCUGACACUGAGACACAAGGGCCAGGGGAGGCAAACG
rnacentral:rRNA from 1 species